rnacentral:rRNA from 1 species
AGUGAACGCUGGCGGUAGGCCUAACACAUGCAAGUCGAACGGCAGCACAGUAAGAGCUUGCUCUUACGGGUGGCGAGUGGCGGACGGGUGAGGAAUACAUCGGAAUCUACUUUUUCGUGGGGGAUAACGUAGGGAAACUUACGCUAAUACCGCAUACGUCCUACGGGUGAAAGCAGGGGAUCUUCGGACCUUGCGCGAUUGAAUGAGCCGAUGUCGGAUUAGCUAGUUGGCGGGGUAAAGUCCCACCAAGGCGACGAUCCGUAGCUGGUCUGAGAGGAUGAUCAGCCACACUGGAACUGAGACACGGUCCAGACUCCUACGGGAGGCAGCAGUGGGGAAUAUUGGACAAUGGGCGCAAGCCUGAUCCAGCCAUACCGCGUGAGUGAAGAAGGCCUUCGGGUUGUAAAGCCCUUUUGUUGGGAAAGAAAAGCAGCAGGUUAAUACCCCGCUGUUCUGACGGUACCCAAAGAAUAAGCACCGGCUAACUUCGUG